GACGGAUUCACUAAGACAGAAAUAAAGCAUUGGGUCGAACUCUUCUUUGGUGUUAAGGUGGUAGCUGUGAAUAGCCAUCGACUACCUGGAAAAGGUAGAAGAAUAGGACCUAUUCUGGGCCAUACAAUGCAUUACAGACGUAUGAUCAUUACCCUUUAACCGGGUUAUUCUAUUCCACUUCUAGAUAGAGAAAAAAACUAA
rnacentral:rRNA from 1 species